rnacentral:rRNA from 1 species
GAUGAACGCUGGCGGCGCGCCUAACACAUGCAAGUCGAACGAGUAAGACGCCUUCGGGCGUGGAUAGAGUGGCGAACGGGUGAGUAACACGUGACCAACCUGCCCCCUCCUCCGGGACAACCUCGGGAAACCGAGGCUAAUACCGGAUACUCCGGGCCCCCCGCAUGGGGGGCCCGGGAAAGCCCUGGCGGGAGGGGAUGGGGUCGCGGCCCAUCAGGUAGACGGCGGGGUAACGGCCCACCGUGCCUGCAACGGGUAGCCGGGCUGAGAGGCCGAUCGGCCACAUUGGGACUGAGACACGGCCCAGACUCCUACGGGAGGCAGCAGUGGGGAAUUUUGCGCAAUGGGGGCAACCCUGACGCAGCGACGCCGCGUGCGGGACGAAGUCAUUCGUGACGUAAACCGCUUUCAGCGAGGAAGAACCAUGACGGUACUCGCAGAAGAAGCCCCGGCUAACUACGUGCCAGCAGCCGCGGUAAUACGUAGGGGGCGAGCGUUAUCCGGAAUCAUUGGGCGUAAAGCGCGCGCAGGCGGGCUUUCAAGCGGCGGCGUCGAAGCCGGGGGCUCAACCCCCGGAAGCGCCCCGAACUGGAAGCCUCGGAUGCGGCAGGGGGAGGCGGAAUUCCCGGUGUAGCGGUGAAAUGCGCAGAUAUCGGGAAGAACACCGACGGCGAAGGCAGCCUCCUGGGCCGGCAUCGACGCUGAGGCGCGAAAGCCGAGGGGAGCGAACAGGAUUAGAUACCCUGGUAGUCCCAGCCGUAAACG